rnacentral:rRNA from 1 species
UAAUACGUAGGGGGCAAGCGUUAUCCGGAAUUACUGGGUGUAAAGGGAGAGUAGGCGGCAUGGUAAGUUAGAUGUGAAAGCCCGGGGCUUAACCUCGGGAUUGCAUUUAAAACUAUCAAGCUAGAGUACAGGAGAGGUAAGUGGAAUUCCUAGUGUAGCGGUGAAAUGCGUAGAUAUUAGGAAGAACACCAGUGGCGAAGGCGACUUACUGGACUGAAACUGACGCUGAGGCUCGAAAGCGUGGGGAGCGAACAGG